UCUUCGAACUUUCCGAUAAUGGUGCUUA
rnacentral:sRNA from 1 species